CAGGAGCCUCAGCUGUCCAACAAGAGGGAAAGUGAGCCUGGCGAUCCAGGAGGCAUGGAGGGCUGAGCCUGGGGGCCAGCGCCCAGAGCUAGUAAGGCACAGGUGUGAGACAUGUACUAAGCACUGACCACGUGCCAGGCUGUUUUGUCAAAUCGGCGUAUUUACUGCAAACCUUUGGCAAGGUUGUUUGGCCAAAAUGAAAGCUGGCAUCCCCACUGACACCCUACGGACAACUAGGGUUUGGUUCCAAAGUGAGACGGUGCGACGUGGUCACGGCUGGCGCACAUGGAUCCAUGUCUGGAGCUGUGCUGGUCGGUGGUCCUGCGGUGCCCGCUAUGCAGCGAGGACACAAAGGCACAGCGGUGAAGGAGCUUUUCCAAGGUGACAGUUGCUCGGUGUCUCUGAGCUGAGCCGCCGUGGGACUCACUCAGCAGCACGGAUGGGGAUGGGCAGGGGGCACUCCUGCUGGGGGACCUUCCUUGUCAUUCCUAAGGAACAUCUGUCCUUCCAGCCAGUGGCCGGGUUGGGCCUGCACACGUGUACCCUGCAGCGAGAAUGAACUAAGCUGGACAUCUCA